GAUGAAGAACGCAGCGAAAUGCGAUAAGUAAUGUGAAUUGCAGAAUUCAGUGAAUCAUCGAAUCUUUGAACGCACAUUGCGCCCGCCAGUAUUCUGGCGGGCAUGCCUGUUCGAGCGUCAUUUCAACCAUCAAGCCCUGCUUGCGUUGGGGUCCUGCGGCUGCUCGCAGGCCCUGAAAACCAGUGGCGGGCUCGCUAGUCACACCGAGCGCAGUAAUACAUCUCGCUUUGGGCGUGCGGCGGGUUCUUGCCGUUAAACACCCCCUUUUUACCAAGGUUGACCUCGGAUCAGGUAGGAAUACCCGCUGAACUUAAGCAUAUCAAUAAGCGGAGGA
rnacentral:misc_RNA from 1 species